rnacentral:rRNA from 1 species
GGAAUCUUCGGCAAUGGACGAAAGUCUGACCGAGCAACGCCGCGUGAGUGUAGAAGGUUUUCGGAUCGUAAAACUCUGUUGGUAGAGAAGAACGUUGGUGAGAGUGGAAAGCUCAUCAAGUGACGGUAACUACCCAGAAAGGGACGGCUAACUACGUGCCAG